GAUGAACGCUGGCGGCGUGCCUAAUACAUGCAAGUCGAGCGAACAGACGAGGAGCUUGCUCCUCUGACGUUAGCGGCGGACGGGUGAGUAACACGUGGAUAACCUACCUAUAAGACUGGGAUAACUUCGGGAAACCGGAGCUAAUACCGGAUAAUAUAUUGAACCGCAGGGUUAAAUAGUGAAAGACGGUUUGGCGGUAACUAAUAGAUGGAUCCGCGCCGCAUUAGCUAGUUGGUAAGGUAACGGCUUACCAAGGCAACGAUGCGUAGCCGACCUGAGAGGGUGAUCGGCCACACUGGAACUGAGACACGGUCCAGACUCCUACGGGAGGCAGCAGUAGGGAAUCUUCCGCAAUGGGCGAAAGCCUGACGGAGCAACGCCGCGUGAGUGAUGAAGGUCUUCGGAUCGUAAAACUCUGUUAUUAGGGAAGAACAAAUGUGUAAGUAACUAUGCACGUCUUGACGGUACCUAAUCAGAAAGCCACGGCUAACUACGUG
rnacentral:rRNA from 1 species